rnacentral:rRNA from 1 species
UAGUCCACGCCGUAAACGAUCAUCACUCGCUGUUGGCGAUAUACUGUCAGCGGCCAAGCGAAAGUAUUAAGUGAUGCACCUGGGGAGUACGCCGGCAACGGUGAAACUCAAAGGAAUUGACGGGGGCCCGCACAAGCGGUGGAGCAUGUGGUUUAAUUCGAUGAUACGCGAGGAACCUUACCAGGGCUUAAAUGCAGAACGACCGGCGUGGAAACAUGCCUUUCUUCGGACGGACUGCAAGGUGCUGCAUGGUCGUCGUCAGCUCGUGCCGUGAGGUGUCGGGUUAAGUCCCAUAACGAGCGCAACCCCUAUCUUUAGUUGCCAGCGGAUAAUGCCGGGGACUCUAGAGAAACUGCCAGCGUAAGCUGUGAGGAAGGUGGGGAUGACGUCAGAUCAUCACGGCCCUUACGUCCUGGGCUACACACGUGCUACAAUGGCUAGGACAGACGGCUGCAAACCAGCGAUGGGGAGCUAAUCCGACAAACCUAGUCGUAGUCCGG